rnacentral:rRNA from 1 species
GACGAACGCUGGCGGCGUGCUUAACACAUGCAAGUCGAACGGAAAGGCCCUGCUGUUGUGGGGUGCUCGAGUAGCGAACGGGUGAGUAACGGGUGAUUAACCUGCCCUUGACUUUGGGAUAACGUCAGGAAACUGGGGCUAAUACCGGCUAGGAGCUCCUGCUGCAUGGUGUGGGUUGGAAAGUUUCGGCGGUUGGGGAUGGACUCGCGGCUAAACAGCUUGUUGGUGGGGUAGUGGCUUACCAAGGCAUUGACGGGUAGCCGGCCUGAGAGGGAGACCGGCCACAUUGGGACUGAGAUACGGCCCAGACUCCUACGGGAGGCAGCAGUGGGGAAUAUUGCACAAUGGGCGGAAGCCUGAUGCAGCAACGCCGCGUGCGGGAUGACGGCCUUCGGGUUGUAAACCGCUUUCGCCUGUGACGAAGCGUGAGUGACGGUAAUGGGUAAAGAAGCACCGGCUAAAUACGUG